rnacentral:rRNA from 1 species
CCUACGGGUGGCAGCAGUGGGGAAUAUUGCACAAUGGGCGCAAGCCUGAUGCAGCCAUGCCGCGUGUAUGAAGAAGGCCUUCGGGUUGUAAAGUACUUUCAGCGGGGAGGAAGGCGAUAAGGUUAAUAACCUUGUCGAUUGACGUUACCCGCAGAAGAAGCACCGGCUAACUCCGUGCCAGCAGCCGCGGUAAUGCGGAGGGUGCAAGCGUCAAUCGGAAUUACUGGGCGUAAAGCACACGCAGGCGGUCUGUCAAGUCGGAUGUGAAAUCCCCGGGCUCAACCUGGGAACUGCAUUCGAAACUGGCAGGCUAGAGUCAUGUAGAGGGGGGUAGAAUUCCAGGUGUAGCGGUGAAAUGCGUAGAGAUCUGGAGGAAUACCGGUGGCGAAGGCGGCCCCCUGGACAAAGACUGACGCUCAGGUGCGAAAGCGUGGGGAGCAAACAGGAUUAGAUACCCGAGUAGUC